rnacentral:tRNA from 1 species
GGCGCUGUGGCUCAAUGGUAGAGCGCUUUCCUUCAACUGAAGAGCAUAGGGACAGUGCCC